UACGAAGGGGGCUAGCGUUGCUCGGAAUCACUGGGCGUAAAGCGCACGUAGGCGGCUUUUUAAGUCAGGGGUGAAAUCCUGGAGCUCAACUCCAGAACUGCCUUUGAUACUGAGAAGCUUGAGUCCGGGAGGGGUGAGUGGAACUGCGAGUGUAGAGGUGAAAUUCGUAGAUAUUCGCAAGAACACCAGUGGCGAAGGCGGCUCACUGGCCCGGUACUGACGCUGAGGUGCGAAAGCGUGGGGAGCAAACAGG
rnacentral:rRNA from 1 species